GCAGCCGCCGCGGGAACACGGAGGAUCCAAGCGUUAUCCGGAAUCAUUGGGUUUAAAGGGUCCGUAGGCGGUCUUGUAAGUCAGUGGUGAAAGCCCAUCGCUCAACGGUGGAACGGCCAUUGAUACUGCAGGACUUGAAUUAUUGGGAAGUAACUAGAAUAUGUAGUGUAGCGGUGAAAUGCUUAGAGAUUACAUGGAAUACCAAUUGCGAAGGCAGGUUACUACCAAUUGAUUGACGCUGAUGGACGAAAGCGUGGGUAGCGAACAGGAUUAGAUACCCGCGUAGUCCCUGUCUCUUAUAC
rnacentral:rRNA from 1 species